ensembl:lncRNA
GCAGAACUUCUACAUUUGAUCCUAAAAAAGACUCCUGGAUCUUCUGAGAUUUUUAAGGGCACUAUGAAGACCACAAAAACAUGCAGUUCAAGCAAAGACAAUACACAAGAAACCUUAGAGGAUUUUCUCUUAUGGACGGUCUCUUUUGGAAACUCUCAGGAUGGGGCAUGUAUUGAUCAAAUGUUUGGAGAGUAUCAGAGUGUUCACUGUGGAAAAAAGAC